rnacentral:RNase_P_RNA from 1 species
AUAGGGCCACAGAGACGAGCGUAUUAAGUUACGGUGAAACGCGGUAACC